GUGCACAUUUCAUUGUCUUUUUUCUUCUUAUCAAGAGAAAAGAUAUUUCUGAUGUGCUAAACUAACCCUGGAGGUAAAUUAACAGCAUGUCUUGAUUUAGUCAUUGCUGUCAGUCACCUUCAGACAAGU
ensembl:snoRNA